rnacentral:rRNA from 1 species
UACGAAGGGUGCAAGCGUUACUCGGAAUUACUGGGCGUAAAGCGUGCGUAGGUGGUUCGUUAAGUCUGCCGUGAAAGCCCCGGGCUCAACCUGGGAAUGGCGGUGGAUACUGGCGGACUAGAGUGCGGUAGAGGGUGGUGGAAUUCCCGGUGUAGCAGUGAAAUGCGUAGAGAUCGGGAGGAACACCAGUGGCGAAGGCGGCUCACUGGACUGGUACUGACGCUGAUGCGCGAAAGCGUGGGGAGCAAACAGG